GAUGAAGAACGUAGCGAAAUGCGAUAAGUAAUGCGAAUUGCAGAAUCCGUGAGUCAUCGAAUCUUUGAACGCACAUUGCGGCCAUAGGUAUUCCUUUGGCCAUGCCUGUUCGAGCGUCAUUUACACCCUCAAGCCUAGCUUGGUGUUGGGCGCCUGUCCCGCCGUUUUCGCGCGCGGACUCGCCUCAAAGUCAUUGGCGGCGGUCGUGCCGGCCCCCUCGCGCAGCACAUUUGCGCUUCUCGGAGGCCCGGCGGAUCCGCGCUCCAGCAAGACCUUUCACGACUUGACCUCGGAUCAGGUAGGGAUACCCGCUGAACUUAAGCAUAUCAAUAAGCGGAGGA
rnacentral:misc_RNA from 1 species